rnacentral:lncRNA from 1 species
UUGAUAUGAGUAAUUCUCUUUUUUUAUUAUUUACAAAUUAAUAUUAGCUGUAAUUAAAUGUGAGCUAGAGUGAGAUUCUACAUGUGGAGUGAGAUUCGUUAUGUGAGCUGCAUAUCUCAUUGAUAUGAGUAAAUUUUUUUAUUUAUUUACAAAUUAAUAUUAGUUGUAAUCAAAUGUGAGCUGGAGUGACAUUCUACAUGUGAGCUGGAAUGAGAUUCUUUAGUAUAUACUGAAUCAACCCUUCACUGUCCAAUGGAAAAUGUUCAUCUAAUUCACCUGCAAACAUAUUUUUAAUGAGAGUUUAUCAAGAUCAAUAAAUACCUUGAUCUACGAACACUUCUCAAUCAAUUACAUGUACCUAACCAACAAAAUUGAUAAAAAUUUGCAAAGAAUUUUUGAAAAGUUUUCAAGGGUCAAUUACCACUUAUGCAUGGAAACAAUUAACAGGACUAACAAAACUAACAUGUCAAAUAGACAAAAAGCUCCCAAGAAUCAAACAUUUCAAAUAAAAGAAACCAAACCAAUGAAACACAAAAUACCAACAAUAUGCAUUUCAAAGAAGUAUAGUAAUUGUCAAUCCAUCAAUUGUUAGCUACAACAAUAUGCAUUUCAAAUAAGUAUAGUAAUUGCCAAUCCAUCAAUUGUUAGCUAUAGUUUAUUAACCUCAUGGAACUAAUAUGUAAUUAUAAAGGCACCUGCCAUUAAAACAAGGUUCAAGAUUUAUAAGCAGCAUACUCAUGCAAGAAAACAGAAAGCAAAGGCCACUCGGUACAAGACCAAUCCAACUCAAAAUUCAAACAGGGCUUUUUUUAACUGGUCCGGGCCUGACUAGAGGCCCAAAAAUUCAACUCGAAAUCAGCUUGAAUUCUAGGUCCAGCCCAAAAGCCCGCACCCAACACAGAUCGCAAUUCUAAUAAAUCCAAAACAAAGAAAUGAUAAUCUAAUAACCAACAAACAAUAACAAUGUAAUGCCAUGUUUCCUACCAAUAAUAACUCAAAUUAUUUCUUUUAUCAAGAUUAUUAGAAAGAGAAGACUAAAUGGGAUUCGUUUGUGAAAAUCAUUGAACAUAAUAGUUUCUUGUUGAAGAAAUUCGCCAAACUUAGCUAGGAAUCGGGCAUGAGUUAGGACGGCUAAUGGGUUUUCAUAGCACUACAUCUCAAGUUGCAUUCCUAUGUGACCUUGUAAAAAAAAAGAUCACCAGACUUAACAUGUUGGAUACCUUCCUGGAGCCAGUAGAUGGCGGUAAAAAGGUAUCUUCUUGAAAAACUUGGACAUAGUAGAUGGAGGUCCAAAUAUCUCCUUGAUGCUAGUACAUGUAGUGAGAUAGAGGCAGGAAACUUUAUCCCAUUUUAUUACAUAUACAAUGGUAUGUUUUAGGAAUACCAAUGGUGCGUUUAGGGAAUACCUAUUCAAUAGUUUAUCCCAGUUUAUAUAGGAUGAGGUUUUUAUAGUGCCUUCACAUUGAAUCCGAGUUCUUUUAACGAAGGAAAUAUCUAUGAUGGCUCUAAAAUCAAUUUCCAACAUCGAAGAUAAAAUUUGAAAUUAAAAAAUUGGUACAAAUCUUGAAGGUCUGCGAACACUUAUUUUUAAUGUAAAAUGGACGGUUUAGAUAACUUAUUACAAUAUACACUAUUUUUAGAGAUUGAAAUCCUAAUUCUUUUUUCACGACCAUAACAUUCAAGUCGAGAUGAUCGAUGUAAAGGUUUUCCAAUGCUUGACUUAAAAUUUUCGAUGAGUUAUAAAGUGAGAAUUUACUUAUUUUGAUAAGGUUGCAGCCCUAUCAAGCCAUUUUCCUUUUUAUAUACAAUAUUUUAUCCCAUUUUACAUAUAUUCCAACAGAUGGAGGUAGAAAUAUCUUCUUGAAACUGGUAGAUGCAGUGAGAUAGAGGUAGGAAAGGGGUAUGUUUGUGGAAUACGUCUUGAACCAGUUUAUCCCAUUUCACACAUAUUUCAACAUAAUACCUUAGCUUAGAGGGAGAAGGUCAUCUUAUACAUGCAGUUCAAUAUAAUACUUUAGCUUUGAGAUAGAGGAUACAUGUAUGGAACUGCCCUAGAUAGAGGAUACAUGUAUGGAACUGUUUUUUUUUUUUGGGUAGUUCAACAUAAUACUUAGACUUUGAGAUAGAGGACAUAUAUGUAUGGAACUAUGUUUCCAUAUCCAUUACGGAUGUAUAUGUACAUAUCUCUCGAUAAAAUUAGGUAUGUAGAAGAUAGAUACCAAGUGAUUUGGUCAUCAAGUUAUCGUACCAUAUUUAUUUUCUCUAAUUGUAUGAUUAUCCUCUACAUAUAGAGGUACUCAUUUAUGUAAAAUAUUCAUCCAAAAUAGUGUGAAGAUGUAGCGAUUGGGCUUUGGAUCCGUGAACCACGUAAAUGUUGUGUUCUCUUCUUUUCUCUCCAUUCUCCAUUCAAUGUCUUUACAAAUGAAUCACGUGAAUGUUGUGUUUUCUUUUUUUCUCUCCAUUCUCCAUUUAAUGUCUUUGUAAAUGUUGUGUUCUCUUCCUUUCUCUCUAUUCUCCAUUCAAUGUCUGCGUAUAUAUGCUCCCAUAAAUUCUAACAUAGUAUCAGAGCAAUUUGGCUUUUAAAGCCUCAUUCUCAUACUGCACUUCCUCGAAGUGAUCGUUGAUGAUUGUAAUAGCGUCUUGAAAAUUUGAACAUCUUCGUCGAGGUGAUCGUUAAACCCUUUCUUAGCCUUUCAUAUGCAGCGGCCCUCCUUUGUUGAAGAGAAAGAAACUUUCAAAGCAAAUCGAUUACUUUAAUAGGAUUUUCAAAAGUUCUCUCUCUCCUAAGUACUAUCUUUCUCGGUUUUGCGGCUCUCUAGUUAUUCCUGAGAAUAUCUUCUUCCCUGUUUCUUGUAAAUUUGAUUAAUGUUCAGAUUAGGGAUUCAACAUAUUUCAUGGUCUAGAGAGACAGAGAGUUUUAUCAAUGGAUGGUAAUAAGGAUGAAGCAUUGAGAUAUGCUGGUAUUGCAAAAGCAGUUCUGCUCAUAGGUGAUAAACUUCGAGCAUUGAAUUCAUUGGAAUAGCUCAAAGGCUUGAUCAUAAUUUACCCCUAGUUGAUCUUUUUGCUGCUUGUGAAACCUUGAAUGACUAGAGAGAGAAAAACUGAAUGUCCGACUCAAUCUAUGGACUAGCGUAAUGGAGAUAUUAAAGAGAGAAUGGUUGGCGAAACCUGAAGAUCUCUUCCUCAUUAUUUAAUUAAUGGGCUUUUACUUUUAUAUGCGCAAUCGUUUCAAAUUGGCGAGUGAUGGGGCAGGUUUGAAUUGAUGGAGAGGAAAAGUAAGUUCUUUAUGUGGAAUCGAAGCCGGAAUAAUUUGACCAGGUUGUUUUUUUCUCAAAAAAAAAAAAUAAAGCUGCACAUUUAGAAAAACAACCUUCCGUACAUUCAUGAUUAGCGGAUUUUUCAAAGAGAAGUUUUCACAAAUCUUCAAUGUUUGUUGCCACUUUAUUUGUCGCAAAGUCGUCUUUGCUGUGCCUUUGUAGCACUUUUAGUAGUCUUUAGACCAAGUUUGGUGAUCACGUAUCCCAAAUUACAUCUCUUCACUCUGGCAGACUAUUCAAGCACGCCAGUGAACCAGUGACCAUUCAAGCACGCCAGUGAGAGCAAUGACUAUUCAAGCACACCAAUGAGAGCAGUGCAAGUUCUUUAGCAACUUAUUUCUCGAUCCUGGUUGAUGAUCAAGUUUUCCAUUACUUGAUCAUGUUUAAUGAUGGAGUUUUUUGUUGUUCUAUCAUGUGUGAUGAUCAUCGAGUUUUUUGUUACUCGAUCCCAGAUGUUCCAAAGAAAAGAGAAAGAAAGAUCAUUUUAUUUUAGAGAGAGAAAGCCUUUAGAAAUAAAAGAAGUCUCUGAUAGAUAAGAUCUUCAAAGAGGAAAACCCUAGAGUCUAGAUAGCCUAAGAAAUGUUGUUUCUUGGAAGACUAUGGUAACCCGUGAAAUUUAUCAUGGAUUUGAUCACUACAACUGCUUUGUGUGAAAGCAUCUUGAGUUUGAGGGGGAAUGUUAGGAUAUGGAUAUCUCAUAUUCAUAAUCAUAUACAUCAUUAUGGAUGUAUAUGUAUAUAUCUCUCGAUAAAGUUAGGUACCUAGAAUAUAUAAAAUUAGGUAUUUAGAAUAUAGAAACCAAGUUAUUUGGUCAUCAAGUUAUCAUACCAUAUUUACCUCAUCUAAUUGUGUGAUUGUCAUCUAUAUAUAGAGGUACUCAUUGAUAUAAACAUUCAUCCAAAAUAGUGAAGAUGUAGCCGGUUGAGCUUUAGAUCCGUGGACUCUUUUUCUCUCCAUUCAAUGUCUGUAUGCUCCCACAAAUUCUUAUAUUCUCCAUUCAAUGUCUAUAUGCUCCCACAAAUUCUAACAUAAAGCAUCCAUGUUCUCUUCUUUUUCUCUUCAUUCAAAGUCAUUCUCCGUUCAAUGUGUGUGUAUGUAUGCUCCCACAAAUUUUAAUAUAAAGCAUACAUCUUAAAGAUGACUGCAAAUAUGUGGUCCAUCUAAAAAAAAUUGGAACUAAAGGUCCAAAUGUUUUCUAAUAGAAUUUUUAUUUUUAUUUUUCAAAAUUUAUUUAUUUUUUCGUAUUCAUAAUCUCAAUGUUAGAGAUUACAUCUCCGUGUUAGAGAUUAUAUGUCCUUAAAAAUGAAGUCCAAAAAUCCACGUCAAAAAUGGAUUUCUAAGAGGUGGUUUAUUUCUGCAUGGACUCAUAGAAACCGAGUCCUUAUGGAAUACAUCUUGAAUACUUUAUUUUAUACAUACAUGAUACUGUUUUUUGGUAGGUCAAGUAUAGGAAUUCAACUUGAAAUAUAGACGUCUGCUAACUACUCAAGCCCAAACCCAAUUCUUACAUGUUUUUAUUUUUAAAAAGACAAUAUAUACCCAAAAUAUCUACAGAUUUUCAUAUCCUUUACUUUUAAAAUAAUAAAAGUUAGUAAUUGAGAAAGAAACACGUAUUUUAUAAUAUGUAAAAUAAUAAAUGAGUAAAUUAAAAUUUCUCUUUUAAUUUGUGUUCUAUUAUUUAGUAAGCUCUCAUGCUUUUAUCAAAUGUCCAACGAACCAAUGCCAAGUCAAUAAUUUAUAAGUGGUUAAAAGAGCCGAGGCUUAAUUGGUUAGUGUUUGACGAUUUGUAACGCUACAUCUCUCCCCACUUACUCACCUAAAAGAAAAAGGUCGAUAAUUUCUAAUUCUUAAUUUACAAGAAUGUUAACAACUAUUUUUCUUCUUCGUUUGUUUAAACCUUAAGUUGUAAAUGCACAUGCUUGUAUAAAUGCAUUGAGCAUCGCAAGAAAAUACAAUAUUAAUUUCAUCUUAAAAUGCAAAAAUUACUUCUAGAUAGAACAUAAUGACUAACGAAAUUCAUGAGCCCAAACCAAUCUUUCAAAAAAAUUCCUCUACCAAGUUCAUCAAAAUAAAACUAUUAGAGCACGACUUCUAAAUAGAAAAAAAGAGUAUUGCAUAUUUAAGAAAAUAAAAAUGCAAUAUAAAUUCUACAAAAAAUAAUUAGUAAUCAAUGAGAAGUUAUGUAGUAUAAUCAUAAAAUAAAUAAAUAAAUAAAUAAAAUUUUAAAAAAAAUACACGAGGAUUAUAUAUUUAAGAAAAUGACAAAGAGAUCCAACUAUCACAAACAAUGUAAUACAAAUUUUACAACAAAUAAUUAAUAAUUAAUGAGAAGUUAGGUAGUAUAAUCAUACAUAAAUAAAUAAGGAAUUACACUAUAAAUCAUAAUAAGAUAUUAGUAAAAAACACUUGAAUCAAUAUACCUCUUCAGUCACCUCUAAUAAGAUAUCAGUGAAAAAAAACUUGAAUCAAUAUACCUCUUCAAUCACCUCUAAUAAAAUAUUAAUAAAAAACAUUUGAAUUAAUAUACCUCUUCCGUCACCUCCAAUAACCAUUUAAAUCAAUAUACCUCUUCAAUCACCUCUAAUAAAAUAUUAGUAAAAAACAUUUAAAUCAAUAUACCUCUUCAGUCACCUCCAAUGCUUUAAUGUAUUUGUCAAUCUAAUGUAUUCACCAACCUUCUAACUUGCUAAUCAAAC